rnacentral:lncRNA from 10 species
CUAAAGUCAAGUAAGACUUGACUCAUCCCUGGGUGGAAGUUCCGGAAGUUGUCCUCCAUCCUCACGGGGCUUUCUGAGCCACAGCUUCGUCACUGCCUGGGCUUCUGGGGCUCCCCAUCCACCUGCCUUCCUGGAGAGCGGAAAUCGCGUGGCUCACAUCACACCUGGACCAGUGCAGAGCAACGCUGGGGCUCCUUCGACUGGGGACGCCAGGACGUGCACAAGGACCCGGACCUGCAAAGUGUAACUGAAGAGUGGGCUACGCACCCCGGUUCUGAAGUAGGCGGUGGGAUCACAGAGUCAUUGUGCACCAAAGAUACCAAAUCUCACAUAUUCCUGAUGUAUAGAUUCAUGACAUAACAGUUUACGCUUGUCAUAAUUUGGAAUUGAAAUGGCCUGGCCUUCGUGUGCACACGGCCACACCGUGUGGCAGACGUGAGCUCCGCUUUGAGGCUGUCAGACAGACCCAGGCAGCAGCCCUGCUCCCUGCUCACUGGGGAGCUCAACAUGGCAGCCACACAGCACUCCCUUGGGUGCCAGCCUUCAUCUUUGUAAAAUGAAGAAAGUGAAAGUGCCCAUCUCACGUAGUCAUUCUGAAGAUUAGAUGAUGUACGGCAUUUAAUGAACCUGUCAUAGUGACCUUCAGAAUUAAAUGCUCAAGAAAAUAUUGGAAAGUGUGCUUGGAAAUAUGAUUCACAAUUGUAACUAACAGAAAAGAUGAGAUCAUCUGUCAAUGAUUUAAGUAGCAUAGAUUUCCAUCAUAUGAUGGAGUCAACAACUAUGAACAGUAUAAGAAAACUUCUAGGCCGGGCGUGGUGGC